CCCGCUGAACUUAAGCAUAUCAAUAAGCGGAGGAAAAGAAACUAACAAGGAUUCCCCUAGUAACUGCGAGUGAAGCGGGAAAAGCUCAAAUUUAAAAUCUGGUGGUCUUUGGCCAUCCGAGUUGUAAUUUAGAGAAGCGUCUUCCGCGCUGGACCAUGCACAAGUCUCCUGGAAUGGAGCGUCAUAGAGGGUGAGAAUCCCGUCUUUGGCAUGGACACACCAGGGCUUCUGUGAUGCGCUCUCGAAGAGUCGAGUUGUUUGGGAAUGCAGCUCAAAAUGGGUGGUGAACUCCAUCUAAAGCUAAAUAUUGGCGAGAGACCGAUAGCGAACAAGUACCGUGAGGGAAAGAUGAAAAGCACUUUGGAAAGAGAGUGAAACAGUACGUGAAAUUGUUGAAAGGGAAACGCUUGAAGUCAGUCGCGUCGGCCGAGACUCAGCCUUGCCUCGGCUUGGUGUAUUUCUUGGCCCGACGGGUCAGCAUCAAUUUCGACCGCCGGACAAAGGUUGGGGGAAUGUGGCAUCCUUCGGGAUGUGUUAUAGCCCUCGAUUCACAUACGGCGAUUGGGAUUGAGGAACUCGGCGCUUCGCGCGUCCAGGAUGCUGGCAUAAUGGCUUUAAGCGACCCGUCUUGAAACACGG
rnacentral:rRNA from 1 species